UAAUUACUCCUUCCGUUCGUAAUUACUUGUCUUAAAAAUGGAUGUAUCUAGAACUAAAAUACAUCUAGAUACAUCCAUUUCUACGACAAGUAAUUCCGAACCGAGGGAGUAGUUG
rfam:Triticum aestivum genome assembly, contig: Triticum_aestivum_CS42_TGACv1_scaffold_406919_5BL